UACGUAGGACCCAAGCGUUAUCCGGAGUGACUGGGCGUAAAGAGUUGCGUAGGCGGCUUAAUAAGUGGAUAGUGAAACCUGGUGGCUCAACCAUUCAGACUAUUAUCCAAACUGUUAAGCUCGAGAAUGGUAGAGGUGGCUGGAAUUUCUAGUGUAGGAGUGAAAUCCGUAGAUAUUAGAAGGAACACCAAUGGCGUAGGCAGGCCACUGGACCAUUUCUGACGCUGAGGCACGAAAGCGUGGGGAGCGAACCGG
rnacentral:rRNA from 1 species